GACGAACGCUGGCGGCGUGCCUAAUACAUGCAAGUCGAACGCAGUGGGGACGGGUGAGUAACACGUGGGUAACCUCCCAUCAGAGGGGAUAAAACUUGGAAACAGGUGCUAAACCGAUACUGAUGGAUGGACACUCGGUGCAUUCGCUAGUUGGUGAGGUAACGGCUGACCAAGGCCACGAUGCAUAGCCGACCUGAGAGAGUGAUCGGCCACACGGGGACUGAGACACGGACCAGACGCCUACGGGAGGCAGCAGUAGGGAAUCUUCGGCAAUGGACGAAAGUCUGACCGAGCAACGCCGCGUGAGGGAAGAAGGUUUUCGGAUCGUAAAACUCUGUUGUUAGAGAAGCGGUAUCUAACCAGAAAGCCACGGCUAACUACGUGCCAGCAGCCGCGGUAAUUC
rnacentral:rRNA from 1 species